rnacentral:rRNA from 1 species
GAUGAACGCUGGCGGCGUGCCUAAUACAUGCAAGUAGAACGCUGAAGGAAGGAGCUUGCUCUUUCCGUCUGAGUUGCGCACGGGUGAGUAACGCGUAGGUAACCUGCCUGGUAGCGGGGGAUAACUAUUGGAAACGAUAGCUAAUACCGCAUAACAGUAGAUGUUGCAUGACCACUAUUUGAAAUGUGCCAUUGCUCCACUACCAGAUGGACCUGCGUUGUAUUAGCUAGUUGGUGAGGUAACGGCUCACCAAGGCGACGCAACAUAGCCGACCGGAGCGGAUGAGUGGCCACACUGAGACGGAGACACGCCACAGACUCAUACGGGAGGCAGCAGUAGGGAAGCUUCGGCAAGCGACGGAAGUCAGACCGAGAAAGGCCGAGGGAGGGAAGAAGGUUGUCGGAUCGGAAAGCUCUGUUGUAAGAGAAGAAAGAGUGUGAGAGUGGAAAGAUCACACAGUGACGGUAUCUGAACAGAAAGGGACGGCUAACUACGUG